UUCUAUUUGGAAUGUCUCCCUCCACCUUCUGCAUCUGAUUGGUGCUGUGGAUAGAGUUUAAGAUGUACUUGAGUGGAAGGGAAUUUAAGGUGGUGAACGUACAUAUUACUCCUUCCUUCUCUUCCUCCUGUUUGCAUCACAACUCUGUGAGGUGAAUUGGGCUGAGAAAGAAAGUCACCUAGCUGGAUUUCAUGCUAAGUGUGAGAAGAUCAUAAGCUGAAAAUAUCCACUGGGAUACUGAAGUUACAGAGAAGCCCAGCUUGACAAAUUGAAGCUUCAUCUGCAGAGGGACUGGGUCAUCUCUGGUCGUAAUCUCAAAAUAGAUCCAAUUUACUGACAAUCAUAAAGAUAGGAGUGAUAGGAAAACUAAAAGGGAAGACCCAGUCCCGAUUAUUUCUUGAAAUGCAAAUGUACAACCAAGUAGGUUUAGUUUGCACAUAUGUAGGGCUACCAUUUCUGGGUUGCACAAAUCCAGAUAAUCAUUUAGAUCGCAAAAAAGAGAUGUGGAAAACUUUCCUGCCACCUAGGUAAUGUUCUAUAGAUGGCACCAUAGUUGGUCUUCUCUUACUGUAUACCCAGCGUCUGUCUUCUUUAAUCCCCCAUAAUCUGUGAAUCAUUGCUCUGGAAUAAACCAAAAUACCAUGUUUUAUUUUG